AUGAACACCUCCAUUUUCCUUCACAUGAAAACAAUUUUAUAGGUAACUUUUAUCACAAAUUUAGCUCGUUCUCAGAAUUAAGGCCAACACAUAACUAUUUUGUGCAGAUAAGUUACCAAAAGUCCAUCAAAUCUACGGAGAUGAAUUUCAUCCACCACACAAGGCCUGUCAAGUCUGCAAGUUUUUCCAAAUGCACCCCAAUUAUUGAUGUUCACCUCACUGGAAGGCAUGGGCAAGGUACCAGGAAUUGAGCUGACUAAAUAUUCUCUGUUUUCACACAAAGCACUAUUUAUCUUUUGGGCAGAUGACUCAUAAAUAUCACUAGAAGUUUUAUCCAAGUGAUUUUCUGGCAGGGAAAGUUUCUGAUUUCCAGAAAUAUUCCUCUCAACUCUAUAUGCCAAGGCUCGGAGGUUCACA
rnacentral:lncRNA from 1 species